rnacentral:rRNA from 1 species
UACGAAGGGGGCUAGCGUUGCUCGGAAUUACUGGGCGUAAAGGGAGCGUAGGCGGGUCGUCAAGUUGGGGGUGAAAGCCCAGGGCUCAACCUUGGAAUUGCCUUCAAAACUGACGAUCUAGAGUAUGGAAGAGGUAAGUGGAACUCCGAGUGUAGAGGUGAAAUUCGUAGAUAUUCGGAAGAACACCAGUGGCGAAAGCGGCUUCCUGGUCCAGCACCGACGUUCAGGCACGAAAGCGUGGGGAGCAAACAGG